AGUAUUUUUGAAUUCAUUAAUGUAGUAGCUUUUAUUAUUAAUAACUUAUUUUACUUAAAUAUAUUACCAGGAGUGUUGUAUAUAACAUGUUUAAUAUUUUGUUAAAGGUCUUUGUCGUCUUACAAUUCAGUCUACAUCUUCUGGGUAUUGGACUAUUUACAUGUCUGAUCAAGAUAUUGGCAGGUUGCCUUCUGGGGCUCGUAGUCCAAGUUUACACAGUCAUGUUGAU